rnacentral:rRNA from 1 species
CAAUAUGAAGGCCAGGCUGAAGACUUUGCCGGAUUAGCUGAGAGGUGGUGCAUGGCCGUCGUCAGUUCGUACUGCGAAGCAUCCUGUUAAGUCAGGCAACGAGCGAGACCCACGCCCACAGUUGCCAGCGUACUCUCUGGAGUGACGGGUACACUGUGGGACCGCCGCUGCUAAAGCGGAGGAAGGAAUGGGCAACGGUAGGUCAGUAUGCCCCGAAUAUCCCGGGCUACACGCGAGCUACAAUGGUUGGUACAAUGGGUAUCUACCCCGAAAGGGGACGGGAAUCUCCUAAAACCAAUCUUAGUUCGGAUUGAGGGCUGCAACUCGCCCUCAUGAAGCUGGAAUCCGUAGUAAUCGCGUUUCAACAGAACGCGGUGAAUACGUCCCUGCUCCUU